rnacentral:rRNA from 1 species
AUGGAACAGGAGCUGCCUCAUCAUGGUCAAGAGCAGGAGCAAGAUGAAACACAGUCAGAAAGUGGAGCAGAGGCAGAAGAAGAUGAUUUCAUACCAAGUCCACCCCAGCCAGGAACAACUUACCUUUCAUCUCAGUUUGGGUUUAGGGCCAGGAAAUCCUCUAGGUGUUUGAACAUGGAUGCAACAGACACAGUUGGUUGUUCAGUAAUGCAGGAUUCAGAUGAAGAUUACAUUCCACAUUUUGUUGAUUCAGACAUUGAUCUGCAAGAUGAUGAUGACUUAUUUGACAAGAAUGCUGAUUGUGACAAAGGCAAAGGUAAAGCAGUCCAAGAAGAAGCUGAUGAUCCUACUGAAGAUGUGGACAUGUGCUUGCCUUCAUCUGAUGAAGAUAAGGUUAAGCUAAAUUUCAAAAGUUUCAGAGAAGAGGACCUGGCUAAACCAGAGUUCAAAGUGGGUCAGACAUUUGCUAGUGUUGAGUUACUGAGGAGGGCUAUCAAGGAGUAUAGCUGCCAUGAAAGGGUUGACAUCAAGUGCCCUAGAAAUGAUAGGAAAAGAGUUAAAGGAAUUUGUGAAGAUGGGUGUCCAUGGUCUUUGUAUGCAUCAUUUGAUGGGAGAAUCAACUACUUCAUGAUCAAGAAGUAUAACCCAAAUCAUACCUGCAUAAAGAAAUAG